CUCUUACUGACAUCUCGCGAAGAUGACCAGGGCAGGCAAGACAGAGUCAGAGAGAAAGAGAAGCUGAGAGGCCGAGACGGGAGAGAAUCGGAGAGACUGUCAGGCACUGACGGAUCAAGACAGAGGCCAGUCACGAGCGAGACAAAGAUGGGGUUCAGACAGAGGUGGAGAGGCAGAAAGAGGGGGGCACACAGAGAGACAGAGGGAGCCCCGCAGACACCCCUGCCGUUCUGCACCCACGGUCUUGGGUCUCCUUGCCAUGGAUCUGAACGUUCUCCCAAGUCUGCAGCAUCUCCUGCCGCCGGCCCCUCCAGCCCCUCCCUCACCCCACACAUAAUUCCUGUCCAACUCCUUCCCACCUUCCUUCUCCAGGAAGCCCUCCCUGCUCCCACGGUGCCCUAGCUGCCUUUCCCUCACCAGGCUGGUGCAGUCCACUUACUGGUGUGUCUCCUCCACUGGCUGUCCACGCCUCGAGGGCACGAACUGGGUCUGCCUGGCUCGUGCGACACCCCUUGCACCCAGCACAGUCUCUGACACACUUGCUGCUCCAUGUACACCGGCCAAAUGAAGCACCUAACCAGCUGCCUUUGCAUCACCUCGGAGAAGCCCUCCCUGGUGGCUCUGAUCACUGUGUUUGACCGUAUGAUUAUUUGCUGUAGGGUCUGUGACCCCUCUGGCCCCAGGAAGGCAGAGUCUGAGUUUGUUGUAUCCAACCCCCUUUGUUUCUCUCCAGUGCCUGGAAGAGUGUCUGGAACAGAGUAGGCGCUCAACUACUGGGGGAAGGAAUGAAUACCCAAGUGGUUUAACUGCUAGCUAUUGGAGGGGUUAUUAUUAUUAUUAAUCGUUAUUGGAGUACGGUUUGCUUUACAAUGUUGUGCUGGUUUCUUCUGUGUAGCAAAGUAAUACUCUCUGGAGGUUGUGAAUCUUAUGUCUUAGUCCAUUUGAAUCCAGCUCAAAGCAAGGCAAUGGCACCCCACUCCAGUACCCUUGCCUGGAAAAUCCCAUGGAUGGAGCAGCCUGGUGGGCUGCAGUCCAUGGGGUCGCUAAGAGUCGGGCACGACUGAGUGACUUCCCUUUCACUUUUCACUUUCAUGCACUGGAGAAGGAAAUGGCAACCCACUCCAGUGUUCUUGCCUGGAGAAUCCCAGGGACGGGGGAGCCUGGUUGGCUGCCGUCUAUGGGGUCGCACAGGGUCGGACACGACUAAAGCGACUUAGCAAAUCUUCCUGUUACCAUUGCGAUCAAGCCCCGAGUCCUCCCUGAGGCCUGCGAGGCUCUGCACGCUCUGGCCCCUGCUGCCCUCCAUCUCCGCCUUGCUCUGUCCUUCCCACACCGCCCCUACCGGCACCCGUGUCCCCGUUCCCCAGGGCACCAUACAGGGCAGACAGUCUCAGCCCCCCAACACCCCACCAUACGUCACACCAGCAGAGCCGUUGUUUCUCUUCUGUGAACAAGGCCGCCUGGCAAAUGGAGCACAUUUGCACAAACAACCUCAGUGUCAGCAGUGGGCCUUGGUCACUGCGGGACAGUCUCCAAGGUUCAGCCGGCCAGCUGCCCAGGGCCUUGUCCCAAGACAGAACUUGAGUCCGAGCCUCAAAAGAGCUGUCUGGGUGGGAGGGGGCGGUGUCCUGGGGGCCCUCGGUCUGACCUUCCUGUCCUGCAAGAAGGGAGGAAAGAAAGUCGUGGGGAGCCCGGGAAAGCAGUGCUCACUGAGGAGACCCCGUCAUCCUCUGGGCUCAGACCUGGCCCCAGCUCCUCCAGAAAGCUCCACUGGCCGCCUUCCUCGCUUCCGGGGACCCCUGCUCUCACCCUCAUCAUAUCAUAGCAGCUCAUAUCACGUUCUGCUGAACGUCUCCACUGGACCGUUUCCUCCACUGGACUGUGCUCCGGGUGGUUGAGGCCGAGUCUUGUGUACCUUGGCGUCCCCAGGGCUCAGGUCUGGCAAGUGGGAGGCAUCAGCGAACACGUGCUGAACAGGAAAGUGAUCGUGGAACGAGCACUUCCCACCUGGGCUCAUAUUUGCUUCUGUCUCUAUCACCAGGACGUGUGCCCAAGACCUCGGCUCCUGUAUCUUUGUUCUCCAGCAUCUGUUGCUGCUCGACACAGAGGAGGAGUGCUGGCGUGUUACUUACUGAGCGCUUACCAUAUGUCGUGCCUCUGGGUUUCAUCUGGAAGUGGGAAGAAGUCUGACAUGCCGACCCUGACUCAGAGUGUGGUCAGGGUCAGACACGACGGUGCUACGUCAUCAGUGGGUCUCCUUGGUGGAAGCUGGGUGCACUCCGAAGAGCAAAGGUUUUGGAGAUACACAGUGGGUUUGUGUCCCGAUCCUUCUCUGUGUGGCCUCAAGCAAAUUGCUUGACCCCUCUCUCCAAACCUAGACUCCAAACCCAGAUUUGCUCAUCCUACCUGGUAGGAUUGUUGCCAGCCCAUGCUUAUGAAAUGCAAGGCCCAGGCCUGGAUGUGACUGACAGAUACCGAGGUGGGCCUCAGCUUGUAAGGCUGGCAGAGCCUCUUAAUUUUCCAUCCCUGCCUUUCAAUGCGACGCAAGCUUCCUGCAGUGAGGGCCACAAACCAGGGAAGAGCUGGAGUCGGCGAAUCCAGCGCAUCUGGAUUCAGGUUCGGCCUCGUCCACGCCCCCGCUGCUCGGUUUCAGACAAGCCCCUGGGCCUGUCUGAACUCCAAGUCCCACCUCUACCUCCAAGGCCCCCUUGCUGUUUCUCAAACACAGCUGUUACGCCUGCACCCAAGCUGCGAGAGAGGCUGCGAAAAGCACAAACCUGAGGCUCAGAGAGGUGAAGUCACUGACCUCAGGUCACAUAGCCAGAAAGUGAAGGAGCCAAGAAUCCAGAUGCGGAAACUGAGGCUCAGCUGAUGAAGCCCCUGGCCAGAAGUCACACAGCUGGAUUGAACCCAGGCAGAUUCUUUACUGAUUGAGCCACCAGGGAAGAUCCAGCCCCCAAGGUCAGUAGCAUGGAGGCUGAGAACCCUGCUGUAAGUGGAACAGGUGAGAACCCUGCUGUAAGUGGAACAGACCUUUGAACGUCACUUUGUAUGGCAUAAGGAAUUAUGCAGCUAUGAUUUAGCUAAAGAUCUUGAGCUGGGAAGAUGAUCCUGGAUGAUCUGAGUGGGCCCAAUGGAAUCACGGGAGUCCUUAUAAGAUGGAGGCUGAAGGAGGUUUGACCACAGAAGAGGAGAAGGCAGAGAGAAUGACAGAACCAGAUUGAAAGGAGGCACAUUGAAGAGGGAAGAAGGGGCCACAAGCCAAGGGAUGCAAGUCACCACUGGAAGUUGGAGAAGACAAGGAAACAGCCUCUCCUCAGAGCCUCCGGCAGGAGCCAGCCCUGCCAGCAUCUUGACUUCAGUCCAGAGACUGAUUUCAGACUUCUGACCUCCAGAACUCUAAGUAAAUAAAUUUGUGCUCUUAAGCCACGAAAUUUGUGAUCAUUUGCUACAGCAGCCGUGGGAAACUGAUGCAGAUGCCAUGGGGAAGACAGAGGUGGGGAGAGUGGGGUGGGCAGUGACGUGGGGAGAGUGAAGUGGGAGCUGGGGGACCAAGGCUGGGGGCUACUGCAGUAGUCCAGGCAGGAGAUGAGGGUGGGCAGAGAGAAGUGGAUGGAUUCAAGAGGACUUUAGGAAGCCAGACAGGCAGCCUUGCUGAUGGG
ensembl:lncRNA